UGCGUAGGCGGUUCGCUAAGUCGGAUGUGAAAACUCUGGGCUCAACCCAGAGCCUGCAUCCAGAACUGGCGGGCUAGAGUUCUGGAGGGGGUAGCGGAAUUCCUGGUGUAGCGGUGAAAUGCGUAGAUAUCAGGAGGAACACCGGUGGCGAAGGCGGCUACCUGGACAGAAACUGACGCUGAGGCGCGAAAGCUAGGGGAGCAAACA
rnacentral:rRNA from 1 species